rnacentral:rRNA from 1 species
UACGUAGGGGGCAAGCGUUGUCCGGAAUCAUUGGGCGUAAAGCGCGCGUAGGCGGCUCGAUAAGUCUGCUGUGAAAGCCCAGGGCUCAACCCUGGGAUGCCGGUGGAUACUGUCGAGCUCGAGUCCGGAAGAGGCGAGUGGAAUUCCUGGUGUAGCGGUGAAAUGCGCAGAUAUCAGGAGGAACACCAAUGGCGAAGGCAGCUCGCUGGGACGUGACUGACGCUGAGACGCGAAAGCGUGGGGAGCAAACAGG